AGAGUUUGAUCCUGGCUCAGGAUGAACGCUGGCGGCGUGCUUAACUCAUGCAAAGUCGAACGUGAUGGUACAGCAAUGUGCCUGAAGUGGCGAACGGGUGAGUAACACGUAGUUAACCUAUCCCGAAGUGGGGGAUAACGACGGGAAACUGUCGCUAAUACCGCAUGAGCUUGAUGGUCUGGGAAUAUCGUCAAGGAAAGCUUUAGUGCUUUGGGAGGGGACUGCGUCCGAUUAGCUAGAUGGUGAGGUAAUGGCUCACCAUGGCGAUGAUCGGUAGCUGGUCUGAGAGGAUGGUCAGCCACACGGGAACUGAGAUACGGUCCCGACUCCUACGGGAGGCAGCAGUGAGGAAUAUUGCACAAUGGGGGAAACCCUGAUGCAGCAACGCCGCGUGGAGGAAGAAGGCCUUCGGGUCGUAAACUCCUUUUCUGGGGGACGAGAGAGGACGGUACCCCAGGAAUAAGUCACGGCUAACUACGUGCCAGCAGCCGCGGUAAUACGUAGGUGGCGAGCGUUAUCCGGAUUUACUGGGCGUAAAGAGCAUGUAGGCGGUUGUUUAAGUCUGACGUGAAAGCUCCUGGCUUAACUGGGAGAGGCCGUUGGAAACUGGACAGCUUGAGGGUGGUAGAGGAAAGUGGAAUUCCAGGUGUAGCGGUGGAAUGCGUAGAUAUCUGGAGGAACACCAGUGGCGAAAGCGGCU
rnacentral:rRNA from 1 species